rnacentral:snRNA from 1 species
GAUUAGAUCCUCAUCGACA